GUCUAAACCUCCUGCAAAUGCCAAAGUUGAACCUUCUGAAGUACCAGAAAAUAAAUCUGGCCAUCAUGCUGGCACCCUGCUUAAAGAGCAAAAUGAACCUGCUACACCCCUGCUACACCUCAUGCAGGAUGUUCAAGCAUUAAAACUGAACUUGAAAACAAGAGAGAAUUGAAUAAUGUAAUGAAUAAAACAGAUAUUGCUACACCCCAAAGUAAUGGCAAUUCAAGCUCAAAGUACUCAUUUCUUCUGGAUGAUGAUCAUGAUGGUAAUGAGUCAGGAACAGAGGAUGAGCAAUGGGCAUUUAUGAAGGAGCUUGAAAAUUUCUUU
rnacentral:misc_RNA from 1 species